UCUGAUGUGAUGGAUGUUGCGCGCCAGGUUACAUGGUUACUACGGGCCAUGAAGCUCGGCAGCUUUCAUUUUGCGUUUACAGCGAACUCUUAACUCUUCGAAUAUCAUUGGUCUUUACGGGUCACGUGACACACGUCUGCCAAUGAGCGCGCACCGCGAUGUGGGAACGUUGCAAUAAAUUCACCUGAUACGGAGAGGUGAACACUUGCAAACGUGUAAGGUAGCAGCUCUUUCCUUGCUUGAAGUGAGCGAUGUCAUCUGCCGGGGAAGGGUCUUGGAACCGUCUGAGUACAGAGAAAAAGGUUGCCCUGGUUUUAGGGGUCCCCGUUGCGGCUACAGUUGGCUAUAUCCUGUACCGCCGUUUCGUCAGGCAGAAUGACCAAAGGGAGAUUUUACAGGAGUCCAGAAUGACUGUUCCCCUAGAAGUGUACCAGUCCAUUGCCAGACACCAGGGCUCCUUCCUAGACCUGGUGACUCAGCAGUCUGGUGCCCAAGUGAAAAUGCAGGCACAGGCAUGGGACCAGAGUACAGUGUGCUUCUGCCUGCAGGGCUCCACUCAGCAGGUGUUACGAGCUAGAUGUGCUUUAGAAAAACUGGUGUCCGACUGCGAGGUCAUCACUGAGUUGUUUGAGGUUCCACAAGCUGCUCUCGUACGUAUAAUAGGGCGUGGUGGAGAAAACUUGAAGCUGAUAAACCGAACCUCAGGGGCUCGAGUGAGCUGUCCCAGAGGCAAGGGCAACCACCUGAUGGAGAAGGGCAGCAUCUUCAUUACAGGAACACGGCGUGAGGUGCAGCAUGCCAAGGAGCUAGUCCUUCAGAAGGUGGUUGAGAGUGAGGAGGUACGUUGCCAAAUAGCCCAGUCAUCUGCCCUGCGUCAAAAGAGGCGGCCUCCGGAGUUAUGUGGCCGGAGAGUCAGGAAGGGCGAAUCGAAGCCCACGCAGGAGAUGAAGGAAGAGACAGAGGGGUCAAAAUGCCAGCAACAGGUGGUAUAUGUUGGAGGAACUGCAGAGUCUCAACACAGUGUUGGGUCUACAGAACAGCAACAGUCCAAAGUGGAGGCUGGCGAAGAGGCCGAAGAAGUGUCACCACAGGACAUCUCCAAGUUUGAAAUUCCUAGUCCAGACUUGAGCUUCCAGCCUGAUGAACACCUGGAAGUUUACGUAUCAGCAGUUGAGAAUCCACAGCACUUCUGGAUCCAGGUCUUGGGUGUGAGAUCACUGCAUCUGGACAAAUUGACUGCGGAGAUGAGCCGUUUUUAUAGCAAUGGAUCUUCACCAGAGCAGAAAGUAGAGAAAGUGGUGGUGGGGGACAUUGUGGCAGCCCCCUACCGGGACCAUGGGACCUGGAACAGAGCCAAAGUGCUCGGUGUGCUGGAGUCAGGCCUGGUGGGUCUCUAUUAUGUUGACUAUGGAGACAACGAUGAGCUCACCCCGGAGAGCCUGCGAAGGAUGAGGAGUGACUUUUUAAGCCUUCCCUUCCAGGCCAUUGAAUGUAGUUUAGCUGGAGUGUGUCCAGCAGGGGAGUCCUGGACAGAGGCUGCUUUGGAUGACUUCAACCGCUUGACCUACUGUGCUCAGUGGAUACCGCUUCUGGCAAAAUUGCGUAGCUACUCCCAUUCCGGCUUCUCCUCUUGGCCCAACGUUCAGCUCUUUGACAACAGCCAUGGCAAGUCUCUGGACCUAGGCGAUGAGCUGGUCCGACUGGGCCAUGCAGCGCACUGUCAGGAUUUGGGUGACGGAGGAGGACUCGGGGGCAACAGUGAUGAUCCUGGUUCACUGCAGAAGAUGUUGGAUGAUGUAACUGGAGUCACAUCAGAGCUUAGCCUCUCUUGCAUCAGUUUGUCAGAAGUAGCCUCAAUCUCAGGAAGCAUGGAUGAUGUUAUAGACGAUGAAUUGAUUUGAAACCAAAACCAGCAUACCUGCUUUGCACUACUGCCUUGCCUUGCCUUAUUCAACGUUUUUCUGCUGCUGCUGUUGCUGCUGCUGCUUUCUGGCAAUGCCAACUUUGACCUGUGUGUGAUCUGACCCCAUUUACCUCUCACAGCUAUUGCAGAGUGUGGUGAAUCUGUAAUACUGCCUCACAUUCUGCUUACUUGAAUCCAAAUAAGUCUUUGGAAGGCCAAGCAUGACCCCUGACCUCCCCCUUCACUUCUGAAACUUUUAAAAGUUAAUUUUGUUAAACUAAACAUACUUCUACAUCGAGUGCAAAACUGAUUUUAGAUUGACAUGUUUCAGUUCUGCAUUGCCUUAUUUUUCAUUGCUACUGUUUGUUUCCAAUUGUAUUUGUAUCUGUUUCCAACUGACUUAAUUUUGACUGUGUUUAAAAGUUGUAUUUUAAAGAAAUAAAAUUAUUUACGUUUGAAUGUAUGCGCUGAAUAUGACUAACAGAAGCAGUAAACCAAAGCCGACAUUACUUUUCUUCAUUUAGAAGAUGCUUCUUUUCAAAUAUUGUGGAAAAAGAUCAU